GCGCUUCCGGUCAUGCUAAUUAUUGUUGAAUAUUUGCUUCGUCCAAAUGAUUAUCAUUUGUAAAAUAUGUACGAAAAUAAAAUGAACAGUAUUUUUUAUUUUGUUAUUUAUUCUUGAACGUUGUAAUUUUAAAAUAACAAAGCAAUCAUUUUUUUGCUUCUGCCUCCUGACUCCGGAAGUUUGUGUGCUGUCUUCCGAACAGAACAACGCCAAGGAUUGUUGUUUGGCGCCUUUGCGAGGCCGGUAUUUUUUGAUAAAUUGCGUUAAAAUCGUAGCUGGAAGUUAAAAGUGAAAAAUUGAAGACCAAAAUCGUAAAAUGGGAGAUAAAGGCGACGGAGAAACGUUCGACGAUGCGGUGGAGGAGCGCGUCAUCAACGAGGAGUACAAGAUUUGGAAGAAGAACACACCGUUCCUGUACGACCUGGUGAUGACACACGCUCUGGAGUGGCCGUCGCUGACCGCGCAGUGGUUGCCGGACGUGACCCGGCCGGAGGGCAAAGACUACUCGGUGCACAGAUUAAUCCUUGGUACACACACAUCAGAUGAACAGAACCAUCUCCUCAUAGCAAGUGUUCAGCUCCCUAAUGAAGACGCACAAUUUGACGCCAGCCACUAUGAUAAUGAUAAAGGAGAAUUUGGAGGCUUUGGUUCAGUAUCAGGUAAAAUAGACAUAGAAAUCAAGAUCAACCAUGAGGGUGAGGUGAACAGGGCACGCUACAUGCCCCAGAAUCCCUGUGUGAUUGCCACCAAGACCCCAUCUUCUGAUGUGCUGGUGUUUGACUACACAAAGCACCCCUCCAAGCCUGAGCCUUCAGGAGAAUGCCAUCCAGACCUUAGAUUGCGUGGGCACCAAAAAGAAGGUUACGGAUUGUCAUGGAACCCUAUACUAAAUGGAUAUCUUCUGUCUGCUAGCGACGACCACACGAUCUGCCUGUGGGACAUCAACGCGACGCCGAAGGAGGGCCGCGUGAUCGAGGCCAAGUCGGUGUUCACGGGGCACACGGCCGUGGUGGAGGACGUGGCGUGGCACUUGCUGCACGAGUCGCUCUUCGGCUCCGUCGCCGACGACCAGAAACUCAUGAUUUGGGACACCAGGUUAUUAUCCAACAACACGUCGAAGCCCUCGCACACGGUGGACGCGCACACGGCCGAGGUGAACUGCCUGAGCUUCAACCCCUACUCCGAGUUCAUCCUGGCCACCGGCAGCGCUGACAAAACGGUGGCGUUGUGGGAUCUUCGUAACCUGAAACUCAAGCUGCACUCGUUCGAGUCGCACAAGGACGAGAUCUUCCAGGUGCAGUGGUCGCCGCACAACGAGACCAUUCUCGCCUCCAGCGGCACCGAUCGCAGACUGCACGUAUGGGACCUGUCGAAGAUCGGCGAGGAGCAGACGGCGGACGACGCGGAGGACGGGCCGCCCGAGCUGCUGUUCAUCCACGGCGGACACACCGCCAAGAUCUCCGACUUCUCCUGGAACCCCAACGAGCCCUGGGUCAUCUGCUCCGUGUCCGAAGACAACAUCAUGCAGGUAAGAUGCUGUUCAUCCACGGCGGACACACCGCCAAGAUCUCCGACUUCUCCUGGAACCCCAACGAGCCCUGGGUCAUCUGCUCCGUGUCCGAAGACAACAUCAUGCAGGUAAGAUGCUGUUCAUCCACGGCGGACACACCGCCAAGAUCUCCGACUUCUCCUGGAACCCCAACGAGCCCUGGGUCAUCUGCUCCGUGUCCGAAGACAACAUCAUGCAGGUAUGGCAGAUGGCGGAGAACAUCUACAACGACGAGGAGCCCGAGACGCCCGCCUCCGAGCUCGAGUCCGGCGUCAACGUCAACCACGGAUAAACAUUUACACGUUACACUAGUCGCGAUGUGGACCUUAGCGCAACGAGAUAAGGUACAUUUUUGGUUUCAAUGUGUCUUCUCUGCGGCGCGACUUUGUGAACCUGCUGGACCACUCAAACUGUCAUUUGUUAAUAGAAAAUUGAGUGUCGCACUGACUGCCAUCAACGGUAUGCGUAGUCGAAUAUGCCCAGGGGCAUGUUGCAUAAACAUUUCCAAUUCAUAAUAUAAGAAAAAUUCUGUAAUUCUAUAAGUUGGAAAUUGUAAUGGAUGUGCCAAUGCCUCUGUUCAUUUGUAUAAGUAUGGAGGAGAUAUAAGUGUGAGACUGAUGGAAGUAUAAUUUUGGAUAAGAAAGUUGGUAAAAUAUUCGACCAGCGGCACGUCAGUUAUCAUCAAUUAUGCCAAGUUGUUCUGUUGAUACUGAAAGUUUAAUUGACUUGCGUGUUUCAAUAAAAUUAUUUAUUAUUGAGACGAGCAAGCUAGUCGUUCACAACGUCGUGCUAGCAGACUUAAAGUCCGCAACACACUUCGCUAUUGUGCGAUAAUAUGACUGCCUCACUUUUGUUUACGAUAUUAACAAGAGAGACGAAUAUGUUGUCAAAUAAGGCAAAGUGUGUGAAAAUAAAUUGAAUGUUUCAACACAAAAUGUUUUGCAAUACGCGUAAUGUCAGAUGUAGUUAUCUUUAAAAUGAGAUGUUAGUGUAUUAAAGAUGAGAAAAACAAUUUUGUUGUGUGUAACGUUGUAAUUAUUUAUUUAUAUUCAAUUGUGCGUCGGGACUCAGGCUAUAAAGUACAUUUUAUGUGGCUGAAACAAAAGGAAUCUUAAAAUUUUCAAUGCUAAGGUUGACUAGCCGUCGCGAGUGGCCAAUGCUCACAGUGUAUACCAAGAAUGACUGCAGGCAUCCCUGGCAGUGUGGUCCCUGACAGUUUAACAUAAUAUGUGAAAAUAGGGGGUAUUACUGCAAUGUUCUGCCGCCAGAGAGCUGCACUAUCACAUAUUGUAAAACAUAGAUUAACUUAUAACUAAUAACUAUACCUUAAACAGUUUCUUGACAAGUAAUAUCGAUAUGUAUAAAUAAAUUUCAUGAUCUGCAAGAGUAUUCGAGCGAUAGAGAGGCAGAUAACGAAAUUUCGAUUUUAGUGUUUCGCGGUAGGCCCUCAGAUUGUGCUAGUAGCUCCCUCUACACAGAGUUUUCAAUUCACUUUUCUUUAAUAAUUCAAAAGCACGAAUUAGCGCCAUGCCUCUCGUGUACGACGCGUCAUUGUGAACCUUGACGCUGCACGGCGGUAGGUUGAGCUGGGCGCGCGCGUCUUGACGGCCUUGGCGGUCAUAGGGUUAAAAUAAUUAACAUUGUUCUUACAUUUAAUCCAAAUGAAGUAAAUUUCUCUCGAUUCCUUUUGGAUUAGUCAUAUACAAACUAUUCCAAAUUAAAAAUUUCAAAAAUACUAGUAAGUGUUUAGGUAGUUAAUAUUAGGAAUGGUUUGCAAGUUGGUUGUGUUGGUAUCAGUUCAGUCAAAAAGUGAACGAAAUGUAAUUGUGAAUGCUAAAAAGAAUAAUUGAAAAUAAAUUUUAACUGUCUUAGCUAGAAAGUUCUAAAUGGACUAAGAUGUAAAGCAGUGUAACUGCUUCAUAUUUCACAUAUUAAGCGUGUUUUGUUUUUUUUUUCAUUGCGCGUCUUUAGUUUUUGUGAAAUAUAGCUAUUUUUUCUGGACAGUAUUUGGACUCUACCCGGAGAAUAAUGUAAACUGUUAGAUUACCUUUUCCUUAUUGUUCCUGAUAGAGAUCACCAAAGCAUAAAUGGGUCAACAACCUAAGUACUGCCUCUGAUGUAUGUAAAAUAGACUUGUUUGUACUUGGGUUGCCAUUCUGUAAUUUUACUAAAUUUCAUGACCAGCUUUGUAAAGAAUAUUUACAUAGUCCAGGGGCAGUCUUAAGUUAUUUACAUAUAUUAUUUUGACAUAGUUUCGGGAUCAUAAUUAAAAUUUGACAAAGAUUUGUAAUUUGAGAUUUUCAAUGCAAUGAAAGUCCAAAAACAAGAAACUUGCUCUUUAUGUAAGCUGCUGAGCUGUGCUCAUUUCAACAUAUUUCUUUUUUUUUUUCUAUAUAAUUUAACCCUUUGAACGCCACGCCUAUUGUGCGAGGCACUUCAUCGUGAACCUUAUCUGAAUACACGAACUUUAAUAUUGAACUGUAGCCGAGCGCGUCAACUGACGUCUUUGGUGGUCAAAGGGUUUAUUAUUGGGAAUAUAUAAUUAUGUUUCUACUUCUUAUUAAAGGAUGAAAACCAGUGUAUUGUGUUAAAAGGUCGUUAACAACAUCAAACAAUAUUCACAAUAUGUACACAUAGUCAACCUGCAAUAUUCCAUGUUAGCGUUAGUUUUAAUAGAAACAUCAUUGAAUAAUCUGGAAAAUGUGAGAAAAUUAUUUGAUUCAGAGGAAGGGUCCAAUUUCACGAAUCUAUAAUGUCUAAAAUUUAAUACUGUUGUUAAAUCUUGUAACUGAAGAAAACUAAACCACGAAGGCCUGAGGAGAAAGAAUUGUGUGACGAUUUCUACUUAUACUAUGUAUAAUCGUUUAAUUUCUCCGCUAUUAAAUCGGCACUAUAUUCCUUUCCGGACAGAGAUUACUAAGCCAAGCUUAGCCAGGCCCUCUAUAACACUAGUCACACAAUCGUUUUCUUCCUGGUCUUUUUCGUAAUAUACUAUCAGGGAAUAUAUUAUUAUAUAGGAGACACAAACGAAACCGUCGCCAUGAUACCGCGUCACGAAAUCUCAUUUUAUUUAUUAACUAAUCCGUUAGUCACGAGGAUUCCUUCAGAUUUGUAUUUCCUGUACAUUUCUCGGAUGACGCGACUGAAUGAGGGUAUUUUAUAAUGUUAAUGCAGUAAUGAAUGAUAAUUUUAAGUUCCGCUAUUAUUACGAAUAAAAGUAAGUAAUAUGCAA